UGAGGAAUAUUGGUCAAUGGGCGCAAGCCUGAACCAGCCAAGUAGCGUGAGGGACGACGGCCCUAUGGGUUGUAAACCUCUUUUAUGCGGGGAUAACCGGUGCCACGCGUGGCGCCCUGCAGGUACCGCAUGAAUAAGGACCGGCUAAUUCCGUGCCAGCAGCCGCGGUAAUACGGAAGGUCCGGGCGUUAUCCGGAUUCAUUGGGUUUAAAGGGAGCGUAGGCCGCCCUUUAAGCGUGUUGUGAAAUGUAGGGGCUCAACCCCUGCACUGCAGCGCGAACUGGAGGGCUUGAGUACACGCAAGGCAGGCGGAAUUCGUGGUGUAGCGGUGAAAUGC
rnacentral:rRNA from 1 species